rnacentral:rRNA from 1 species
UACGGGGGGGGCAAGCGUUGUUCGGAUUUACUGGGCGUAAAGGGCGCGUAGGCGGUCGGGUAAGUGAGAUGUGAAAGCUCUGGGCUCAACCCAGGAAUUGCAUUUCAUACUGCUCGACUUGAGUUCGGUAGAGGAGGGCGGAAUUCCAGGUGUAGCGGUGAAAUGCGUAGAUAUCUGGAGGAACACCCGUGGCGAAGGCGGCUCUCUGGUCCGAUACUGACGCUGAGGCGCGAAAGCUAGGGUAGCAAACAGG